rnacentral:lncRNA from 1 species
AUGGCCCCGAAAGAAGAACCUAUUGCCAGUGUCAAGUUCCUAGAUGACAAGGAUGGCAAGUGUACAUUUGUGCCGCUUUCUUUCAUUAAGAACUUCAAAUCCGACAGUUUUAAGCCGAACACAAAUUACAAAGUUUUCUGGAGUCCAAAUGAGGAUGAGAAACCAGAAGAUGUUCAGAGAAACCAGGGAAUCAUAUUGGACCUGGAUGAUGAAAUCGAAGCUCGACACCCAAGGCGAGAAACACCCAUUCUGGCUGGCUAUUAUAAUGCCACUGUGCUAAAGAUUGCAGAUUCUAAGGAGGCUUCCGAAUCAUUGAAGACAAAGCGAGUCUCUGUUCCGACGAGGAGGGUUCUCGAGGGGCAACAACUGAAGAAGGAUAGCAAACGAAAGCCGAAGAAAGACUCCUCAUAUGUCUCUAAGGUAAUUCCUACCAUUCCUGCUUUUAGCUUCACUAAGCAAAUGGGUCCACAAAAGCUUUCUUCAUUCAAAGCAAAUACGAUCUGUUCUAGAAGGAAUGAAAAAUCUCAAAUGACUUGGAGCUAUUCAUAUUUUAUUGAUGAACCCCUCAGUGACAGGAUGGAAUCAGAUUUUCCCAAAAUUUGAUUUCAGUAAGCUAGCAUAAGUAUCUUAGCUACUUAGAUUUUGUGUUGAGAUUAUUUUCUUACUGCUUCCUUAACAUUACCUCUGAAUGGACAUGAAAAAAUGACCCUCCCAGUUAUGUACCUGAUGCUACACUUCAGCUCAUUCUUUAAUUUUGAAUUAUCUCACUUCUACAGGAAAAAAGAAAGAAAAUUGUUGCCAAAACGGAUGCGCUUAUGGCCACCAAAAUGGAGGAAAAGAGGAAAAGGAAAAAGGAAUCUUCAACAUCAUCAUCAUCAGGGUCAGGCUCCGAUGAUGAACUCCUGACCAGGAAAAAAUUCAAGGAAGAAUUGCAAAAAGUAAUGCUAAUUAACGAUAGUUUGAAGAGAGAGAAUAAAAGGCUGACUGAGAGAAACAUCGGACUGGAAACCAGAAAUGAAGAAUUAGAGGCUGCGAACCUUCGGUGGCAAGAUAAAUUCUUCAACACGCCAUCAGAGGCAGAACUUCAGUCUAAGCUUCCAUGCCCAGUAAAAAUUAAUCUUGUGUCCAAAGAUUUGUUUUCAGAAAAGACGGUUAGUAUGAGAAAAAGUUUUCAACUGCAUGUCAUUUUAAAAACUGCUCUCUCUCUAGAUUUUCCUUUCUUUCCACUCCCUUCAGCUUUCCUCUCAUAUGAAAGAAGUCUUGGUUGUAAAAAAGUAGGAACAGAAGGAGAGCAGUUUCACGUAAAUCAGGUUUCAAGUUGAGUUUUGAUCGGAUUCAUAUUCUUCUAAUUUACAAAGCUCUGAUUUAUUUAAGUUUAUUGUUAAAAUCAGUCUCAUUUAGGCAAAUUUUAUUGUAUGCGCAGCCAUUGGCAGAGUAAUUUGAGGGAAUAGCAACAGAUAAAUACUAUAAAAUCAGUGUGCCUAGGAGCCAUUUCUUUCCAUAGAGCAAUGAUUUUUCAUCAUUCUCAGACUUAAAAUGCUUUCUAACCAAAUAAAGAAUUCAUGUUCAGUAUACAUCUUACCAAAAUGGUUUUUUUCCAGAGAGAAAAAAAAUUCAAUAGCCUAAUUAUUUAACUUUUAAACUAUGGUAGUGGCCUAAUUUUAAUAAAAGGUUUUCUUUUCUUUUUCUAUAGGUUGAUAAAAAGAAAGAAAUCACUAAGCCGCCAGCAACACAAAAAAGAGCAAGGUGUACACCACAGAAAUCACCUGUGAAAGUGUGUACAAGUCCAAGAAAUGUCAUCUGGUCAGUUAACACCAGCCCCAUCAGCACUGUGCAUCCUACUCAUAAUACACCAGUAAAGCAUGUGUCUCAACCCUCAUGCGUAGAAACUGCUGCCAAGGUAAAAGUAGUUUUUUGUUGAAUUAUACAUAUUGUAGUUUUGAUACAUAUAAGAAGGUGAUUCGAUGGACCCUAUAUUUUGUGUCAGAAAGACGUUGAAUCUAUUGCAUUCUUUAUUGGUUCCAUUUUUUUUCAGCUACUCUCAUUUUUCUCGAAAUUUGAGUUCGCAUUUCGGUUGUCGCCAAAAUUAAAGAACUCACUCAUCAAAUUUGACGAAGAAAUUCAGCGUAAUUAAAGCAGGGAUUUUUUAGAGGAAAAAUAUCGCAUCAGAGUGCAGUUUUGAUAUUAGUAUCGAAUGCAAUAUCUCUCCUCUCAGAAAACCCUGGCUUUAUUACAUUGAAUUUGUUUGUAAAAUUUGGUGAGAGCAUUUUUUAGUCUCUUGUCAACAGAUGAACAGAGAUGCAAUCUCCAAAUGCGAGGAAAAUGACAAGUAGCUGAAAAAAUGGAACUAGGUAAUCAAUGCGAUAAAUGGGACGUUGCUCUGACACAAAAUAUGGCGUUGAUGGAAUUACCUGAAACUUAAAACCUACCACAUUUAAGUUAUGGUUGUUUAUUCUCUUUUCUGUAGAAAUAUUUUUUUUAUUGUUUUUAUUUUUAUUUUUUUUCCCCCACGGGGACCUUUUAGUCACCAAAAAUUAAUUUCCUUUGGACAUUUUUUCUCAGGCAACGGUUUUGAAACAAUCUGAAGGAGAAGAAAGGAAAGAAAAAGAAGAAGAACCAAAAGUAGCAGGAAAGGAACGGAAAGAGGAAGAAGAACCGAAAGUAGCAGGAAAGGAACUGAAAGAAGAAGAACAGAAAGAAGUAGGAGAGGAGCAGAGAGAGGAAGACAAAGAAGCAGGAGAGGAACAGGAAGAAGAAGAGGUACAUCAGCUAUUCAGUAUUACUCAGAAUGCAUUAUUCCAUACUGACACACUACAGAUGAUGUUGAGUGAAUGCUGAGCAUUAACAAAAUGAAAGUAAAUAAUUAAUUUUAAGAAAAAAGAAUUGCAUCAAAAAUCAAAUUCUUACAAAAAAGAGAAAGUUAGCCUUUGGCCAAUUAAUGAUUUUUGCCUUUAUUCAAUUGAGCCCUUUUUGAUAACGCAUGCCUGUCAGCGGAACAUGCAGCCCUAAAUAAUUUUGUUUUUAUCAUUUUUAGUGCCAACAUGUUAAUAAAGUAAAUUUUCCUAAGGUUAUUAAGCUUCUCAUUGGGUUUUAAAAUGGUUUUUUCACAUUUUCAUUGAGUUCUCUGAAAUUGCAGUGCAUUUUAUGUUGCAUUUUUGGUCCUUCUUUUCUUUUGCAGGUAAUGAUUUAAAUUUAUAAAUAUGUAAUGCAUCUGCACUACUUUUUUUCUUUUUUUAUUUAACCUCAGAAGAGGGAGCACUUCCUGGUAGAAGCAUAGGCCACUGUGCAGAGUCACUACACAAUUAUCUGAUUAUAAAUUCGUUAAACUUUAAUAUAGAAUUAGCUGGAAAAGAAAUUAAAACUGAGGCAUUGAUGGAUUAAAAACUAAGAAACUGCUAGAACCAUUUAAUUAAUCGAUGUUAAGACAUGACCUGAUGAUGAUUGACCUAUUUAUAACUACGGACUUCUCCUUUAGUUUACUAAAUUGAUUCUAUUUAAUAUCAUCCUUUUAUUGUAGGUUGAAGAAAUUGAUUUUACCUUGACGCCAAGGAAGGAAAAAAUGUCCUACAAUGGUGUCAGAAAAGGCAAGAGAGGCGAUUCAGUUUUCGCGAAAAAUCUUGCUACAGCCAUUUUUGGUGUUGAUACGCUCGUUAGAAGCAGUGUCACUGGGCAAGCCGCCAAAGGUGGCAAGAAAAAGAAUACCACCGAUAAUACUGCAAGACCUGCCCUCUCCAAAGCAGGUCUCAAGAUCUUGGAAGGUGAGAAUUUCUGUCACAUUUUUAUUUUAAUUGAUAUAGAAAUAGCAAUAUAGAAUAUUCGCAAACAACAUUCAGUAUUAAUUAAUAGGUUUCAAGUUAACAGUCAAAAAUUUUCCACUCAUAUCUGCUAAUUAUUUUUUUAUUUCCUUUCACCCUUUGCUUGUUAGUCAGAUAUUGAUGAAUAAGUGGUAAACCAGGUAUCUCGGUAUCCGGGUUUCAAAAUUUCUGGUUCUUUUUUAUUUUUGUGGAGGGGAACUGCACCUUAUAGUUUGAGAUUUACAGACUCAGACCAGAAUAUUCUGCUAAGAAAGAAAAACAUAUGAAAGAAGUUUUUAAGAAACAAUGACUACUACUCUUCCAAAUGAAAAAUAGAGUAUGACAGGGAGUCUGCAACAAGGCAAACGAAGAUACAUGGUUUCGCACUUAGGUGUUUAAAAUAUUGCAAUGCAAGCAGAUACCUCACUUUUUGCUGUUUUUUGCCCAAAUUUUGCCAGUUGGAAAAUAAAAGAAAUAAACGAAUGUAAAAGUUACUGAGCCUCUUGGUCUUUGAAAUAUGAAGUUCAUAUGUCAUAAACAAUUGGAUCUAUAACAAACUUUUCCGUGGAGAAAAGUAUGAUUCAAAUUUGAUUCAACAGUAGAGUAGAUAAGUGUUCUGGGUAGGAAACAACAUCUCAUAUGCCUCUUAAACAAAACUAAAUGCUUCGUCUUUUCUUUGUUGCAGAUGCUUUUGAAAGAAGGAUUAAAAAGGAAGACCCUGGCGCAGGGGAUGAUGAAUUGAAGGCCAGGAAAAAAAUAAUCAAAGGAGCGAUCGCUGACCGCAUAAAAUAUCUCCGAGCUGGCGACAGCUAAGUGCACGAUCAUUUUAUUCAUUUAUUGUUUUGUGAUUUACCAUUCAUUUAUUUUAAUUAAUUCAUUUAUUUGUAAGUUUAAUUUUUGUUGAAGACUGAAAAGUAUGUAAAAGUAUAAAAGUACUGAAAAGUAAAAGUAUAUUUUUUGUUGAAGACUAAAAAGUAAAAGUAUAUUUUUUGUUGAAGACUGAAAAGUUUAAAGUAUAUUUUUUGUUGAAGAGUGAAAAGUAAAAGUAUAUUUUUUGUUUAAGACUGAAAAGUAAAAGUAUAUU